rnacentral:rRNA from 1 species
GAAGGUUUGCUUAGAAGCAGCCAUCCUUUAAAGAGUGCGUAACAGCUCACUGAUCGAGAGGUCCUGCGCCGAAAAUGAACGGGGCUCAAGUGCGCAACCGAAGCUGCGGCUUGUCAAAGAUCGUUGAUCUUUGGCAGGGGUAGGGGAGCGUCCCAAACGGGUGAAGGGUGACGGCAACGACGCCUGGACGUUCUGGGAGUGAUUAUGCCGGAAUAAGUAGCGAUAAAGCAGGUGAGAAUCCUGCUCGCCGCAAACCCAAGGUUUCCUGGGCACGGUAAAUCCGCCCAGGGUUAGUCGGACCCUAAGGCGAGGCCGAAAGGCGUAGUCGAUGGAAGACAGGUUAAUAUUCCUGUACCAGCAAGGGCGCGUUACUACCGAUGGGGGGACGCGGGAAGAAAGGUGAUCGCACCGAUAGUCGUGUGCGUACAAGCUUGAGGGUGGCACGUAGGUAAAUCCGCGUGCGGAAGCCCAGGAGUGAUGUCGAGCCCAUUCGGGCGAAGUCACUGGACCAACCGCCGAGAAAAUCCUCUAGGGAGUUUCCUUGCUGUCCGUACCAAAACUGACACAGGUGGGUGAGGUGAAUAUCCUAAGGCGCUCGAGAGAACUGCUGUUAAGGAACUCGGCAAAAUAACCCCGUAACUUCGGGAUAAGGGGUGCCUCUGGUGGUGUAGUCCCUCGCGGAUGAAGCUGCUGGAGGUCGCAGGGAAUCGGCCCAAUCGACUGUUUACUAAAAACACAGGUCUGUGCUAAGUCAUAACGACGCCGUAUACAGACUGACGCGUGCCCAAUGCCGGAAGGUUAAGGGGAGGGGUCAGCGCAAGCGAAGCUCCGAACUGAAGCCCCGGUGAAUGGCGGCCGUAACUAUGACGGUCCUAAGGUAGCGAAGUUCCUUGUCGGGUAAGUUCCGACCCGCACGAAAGGCGUAACGAUCUGGGUGCUGUCUCGGAGAGAGACUCGGCGAAAUAGAAAUGUCUGUGAAGAUGCGGACUACUUACACCUGGACAGAAAGACCCUAUGAAGCUUUACUAUAACUUGGCGUUGGGUUCGGGUUUGUUUUGCGCAGUAUAAGUGGGAGGCGUUGAUCUUUUCUUUCCGGAGAAAAAUGAGCCAACAGUGAGAUACCACUCUAAGCAAGCUAGACCCCUAACUUUAUACCUUUAACAGGUUAGAGAACAGUGUCAGGCGGGUAGUUUUUCUGGGGCGGAAGCCUCCUAAAAGGUAACGGAGGCGUGCAAAGGUUUCCUCAGGCUGGACGGAAAUCAGCCGUAGAGUGUAAAGGCAGAAGGGAGCUUGACUGUGAGACUUACAAGUCGAGCAGGGACGAAAGUCGGCCUUAGUGAUCCGACGGUUCCGAGUGGAAGGGCCGUCGCUCAACGGAUAAAAGUUACUCUAGGGAUAACAGGCUAAUCUCCCUCAAGAGUUCACAUCGACAGGGAGGUUUGGCACCUCGAUGUCGGCUUAUCGCAACCUGGGGCGGAAGGGCGUCCCAAGGGUUGGGCUGUUCGCCCAUGAAAGCGGUACAUGAGCUGGGUUCAGAACGUCGUGAGACAGUUUGGUCCAUAUCCGGUGUAAGCGUUAGAGUAUUGAGAAGAGCCUUCCUUUGUACGAGAGGACCGGGAAGGACGCACCUCUGGUGUACCAGUUCUUUAAAAGGGAAACGCUGGGUAGCCAUGUGUGGUUCGGAUAACCGCUGAAAGCAUCUAAGCGGGAAGCCCCUUCCAAGAUGAGAUCUCCCUGGACCCUCGAGGUCCCUGAAGAGCCGUUCAAGACCAGGACGUUGAUAGGUCGGGUGUGUAAGCGCUGCGAGGCGUUGAGCUAACCGAUACUAAUUGCUCGUGCGGCUUGAC